rnacentral:rRNA from 1 species
UGGGGAAUUUUGCACAAUGGAGGAAACUCUGAUGCAGCGACGCCGCGUGAGUGAUGAAGAUCUUCGGAUUGUAAAACUCUGUCCUUAGUGAAGAUAAUGACAGUAACUAAGAAGCAAGCCCUGGCUAAAUACGUGCCAGCAGCCGCGGUAAUACGUAUGGGGCAAGCGUUGUCCGGAAUUAUUGGGCGUAAAGGGUACGUAGGCGGUUUAAUAAGUCCUAAUUAAAAGGCUAUGGCUCAACCAUAGUAUGGUUAGGAAACUGUUGAACUUGAGUAGAUGAGGGGAAAGUGGAAUUCCAUGUGUAGCGGUGAAAUGCGUAGAUAUAUGGAGGAAAACCGAUGGCGAAGGCAACUUUCUGGAAUCAAACUGACGCUAAGGUACGAAGGCGUGGGGAGCAAACAGG